AAGAACUGCCUGAAAAUGUUUCACUGAGAGGGAAGUAGCAACAUCGUAGCUACAGUAUUCAGCCCUCGAGAUAGCCUGCUGCAUUCAUUGUAUCUACUGCUCCCUUUUUUUCUAUGAGGGGAAUUAGCUCAAAUGGUAGAGCGCUCGCUUAGCAUGCGAGAAGUAGCGGGAUCGAUGCCCGCAUUCUCCAAACAUUUUCCCGUCCCAGCGUGUGGCCAAAUUUAUGUAAACGAGAGGAAUGACAUGCAUGACCUGGUUCUCCUCUACUGAGACCGAUCCAGGCCCAGCAGCGCAGGCCCAGCUCUAACAAUGGUCCUCCCUACAGGUUGGCCUGUUCCCCUCCCCUUUGGCACCAGCUCCUGACACGACAAAAGAGGAUUGCUCUGAAGAGUUCCUGCUGGAUACAGAUCUGCCAAGCACACCUCUGCCACUGCCCUUGAAAGCUUCUCCACUGGGCCCAUUAAGAGAUGAGGUUGCCUUUUCAUCUUAGACCACGGCCCAUGGACAGAGGCCAUUAGAACUGCCAGUGAUGUUCUACUGGUCAAGCACCACGGGCAGGAAGUGACCCUGAAGUGGGUGGAUCUGCUUUGCUCUUAACACCAGCCCAGAGAAUCUCCAGAGACGCACAGCUGUGACAUUAUGUUACUGCAGAGAGUACCGUAAUGCCACAUCCCCUUCCACCUGCACUUACACAGCAGAAAACCUCACCAAUUCAAGGAUACCAUUUGAGGAUUUUGCUGCGGCUGCCUUCUUUCAAUGGGAGCUGGAGGCCUCGAUGCAGAGGAAGGAGUGAGGAAUGGGCGAACUGAGAAAAGCAGUAUCCCUCCGGCCGUCUGUACAGGUUCUACCACCAGCCGCUGAAACAAGGCCCCAACAGCCCUCACACACAUACCGGCUUUCCUUGAGUGGGAGGAAAAUAUCUACUGCCUAGCCAAAGUGUUUUCCCUGUACCUUGCCUUGUAUGAGACUAAAAGAUAGAGAUGGAUGGUGAAGAAGGGGGGGGGGGGGGGUGACUCUACAGACACACACACACACAGAAAUAAAUAGGAGCUGAAAAUCUAUUUCCAUUAAUGGAAGUGGUUUGGACUCGUUUGAUGGUUUGGACUCGUUUGUAUUUAUUUCACAGGUACUGUCCAUUCUUUCACAUUACUGUACAUACAUUGCUGGAUAUCACUGUAUAUAUUAUUGUCCAUUACUAUUUGGUGUAAAUGCUGCACGAAGGCCAACCUUUUAUUCUAAUCGCGGUGAAUAUGUCUUGCAUUAUAAACUAAUUGCUAUAGUUAGUGUGUGAAUAAGUUUGUUGUAUUAAGGGUUGUGCUCCAACACUAUCAUAACUAUGGCUUUGAUUUCAUUCAAAUCAACCUCAAAGUAAUCUUCUCUAUGAGCUGCUUUAGAGUUGUCUUUAUGAGUAAGAUACAUGCCUUUCCAUUGUGCUCUAACACUCAUACAUUUGCCUUUGAUUUCAUUCUAUUAAACCUCAACGUGAAGCAA